rnacentral:lncRNA from 10 species
UUUUUGUAUUUUUAGUAGAGACGGGGUUUCACCGUUUUAGCCGGGAUGGUCUUGAUCUCCUGACCUCGUGAUCCGCCCGCCUCGGCCUCCCAAAGUGCUGGGAUUACAGGCGUGAGCCACCGCGCCCGGCCAAAUGCUACCAUUGUUAAGUGCCAGGCGUCCCACCAUGCGGGUCUUCACUGCGUAUCCACGUAGCUGCACCACGCAGGCAUUCUUUCCUCCCUUUUGCAGAUGAUGGCACCAAAGUUCAAGACUCGCCCAGGGCCACCAAGACAGUCCUCUAGACUUUGGUCUUCCCUCCUUGCCUCCUCGGCCUGGGGUGGUGGCGCCUCGGUCUGAGAAGGGUCGAGGUCUGGGUGCUGCUAGUGGCCCUGGCUCAGUCUCAGAGCUGCCCGGAGGGGGUGAGGAUGGCUAACUUAAGGAGCACAGGCAGAGGCUUCCUGCUGGCAGGAAGAGGGCUGAGCUGCGGAAGGCCACCCAGGUGGAGUGUGCUGCACCUCCUUCAGUGGCCUUCAGGAGCUCUGUCCUCACCCAGGGAUUGGGGUGAGUCAGGGCAUGGGGAAACAGGCUCACAGAGCCCACCUGCUCACCCUGACCACCCCACCCCAGGGGACCCCAGGCUCCUAACUCUCAGAAUCCCACAGUCUGUAUUGGCGGAAGACGGGCUGGCACCCUUGAGUUAGGCCCCCAGUCGUUGGCACAGAUAAGGGGAGCUGCUGCUGAAGGAGCCCGACGGCUGAUUCUGUGGAGGCUUCUCAGAGCUCCUGGCAGGAGCCCCUCACCGCAGGAGGCCCACAACCCCUCCCAGCUGCAUAUCGGCUCACAUUCACGCGGCUGCCACACAAGUGCGUCGGAAACUCCACUUGGCUGAACGUGAUUGUGCUGCUGUCUGGGACAGUCUUAUGCACGUGAGCCCAAUACUGGAUGUCCCGCCAUUUUCAGCCCUGGGGCCUAUGGCAAAGUGACGCCCCCCUCGGAGUGCACGGCAGGCAAGGAAGGUUUAAACGGAAGUUCUGACCAGGACGAUGCUGGGUGCAAGAGGGGACGGGGAUGGAGCAAAACAGAAAGGAUCCACCAGGGCCUGCAACCACGUCUUUGGCCCCGGUGAGGGGUGGGACCUUGUGUAUAGGUCCAGGCAGCAGCAGCUGCAGACAGAGGCCUAGAGGGUUUGGAGAAGGCCGACCACAAAGACACGCCUAGACCCCAGAGUCUAGUGAGGAGAGGGACUGGGGGCAGUGUUUCGGCAGCAGACCCAGACCCAGACUCAGACCCAAGCCCCCCUCCUCACUGAUCAAAACCCCAAGGGCAGGGAGCCCUUCCUGCUCCUUCCCGCCAGAGCCUGGAGGAUGAGGGGCAGACGGGAGGCCCGGCCACUGGUGCCUGCUCCUUUGAUCAGCUGUAGUCCCUUCCCCUUCACAGGGCACUUGUCUUGCUGGUUGGGGUCACCAGGGAUUGCUCCCCCAAGUACCCAUCAGCCUCGUUUUUCAGUUGUAAAGCAGGGAUGAUCAUAUGUGUUUAACUCCCAGAUUGUUAUCAAGUCAAGGACAACAAUAGGAAAACAUGUCACCUGUCAGCUCCACACAAGGCAAAGUAGGAUGGGUGACCCCUGACUAGGGGGUGGGAGUGCAGGGGGCACCCGACCCAUCUGGCCAGCCACAGCCUCUGUACCCUGCUCGCAUUUUCAGGCCUCAAUCCCCAAGCACUGUUGGCCCUGGACUGUUUCCCCCCCUCAAUUCUGUUUCUCAAUGCCUGCUUCUUCCCAGUAAGUGCCACACCCUGAGGGUGGGUGGGAGAGUGAGGCAGCACUGCCCACUUUGGCUGGGACUGGGCACUGCUGGGGACAGCACGGGCCACGUCUUCCCCAUCUCAAGACUGGCUUUUUGGCUAGGCAUUGUGACUCACGCCUGUAAUCUCAGCACUUUGGGAGGCUGAGGUGGGAGAAUUGCUUCAGCCCAGGAGUUCCAGACCAGCCUGGGCAAAAUAGCAAGAAUUCAUCUUUAUGAAAAAGAAAAAAAAAAUUAGCCAGGCAUGGUGGCACACACUUAUAGUCCCAGAUACUUAGGAGGCCGAGGUGGGAGGAUCCCUUGAGCCCAUGAGUUGGAGGCCGUGGUGAGCUAUCAGUUGCACCACUGCACUCCAGCCUGGAUGGCAGAGCAAGACCCCAACUCAAAAAAAAAAAAAAAAAAAAAAAGGCGGCCUUUUCCCAGCUGGCAGCACCCUGGCUAGUUAGGGUUUCUCCGAAUCUGCAACUCCUGUGUGAUGGCGGGUCUCAAAUGCUGGCAGCAGAGUCACCGGUCAGCGGCAAGACCUGGAGUCUCCAUUUGGAACCAGCACCCGGGAGCCUCUGCUGGGGGUGAUCAUGGAGCCGCACGUGGAGGCUGGUGGCUCUGAUGGUUCGAGCCGUUCCUCGGCAGCACAGCACACCCGCUCCUGAGGAGCCACGGAGCUCAUGAGCGUUGGCAAAGUGCUGUCAGUGCUGGCUGUAAGGAAACAGGCUUGACUUUUAACUCAGCCUUUCCCAAACUUGACUAUAAUACUUUCUUGAAAAUCAGAAUAACCACUAACAUCACAAAACGAGUGUUCUCAGGAGUGGGCAUGUUUAUCUCGUUCUCUUUUUUUUUUUCUUUUUGAGACGGAGCCUCGCUCUGUUGCCCAGGCUGGAGUGCAAUGGUGCGAUCUCGACUCACGGCAAUCUCCGUCUCCCCGGUUCAAGCGAUUCUCCUGCCUCAGGCUCCCGAGUAGUUGGGAUUACAGGCGCACGCCACCACGCCCGAUUAAUGUUUAUUUUUAGUACAGACGGGGUUUCUCCAUGUUGGUCAGGAUGGUCUCGAACUCCUGACCUCAGGUGAGCCUCCUGCCUUGGCCUCCCAAAGUGCUGGGAUUAUAGGCGUGAGCCACCACGCCCAGUCUUUUUUUAAAUAUUUGAGUGAAAUAAAGCCUAGGAGAUAUGUGUUCCAGGCGCCCAAGCUGUUAAUGUGGAGCUUGAAUGUGGCCUGGACCUGCCCUUUCCUCUUCUCCUUUCAUCCCCCUCCCUGCCGCCCACAUCCUGAACUGCUCUGAGCCUGCAGAAGAACCCAGCGGGAAUCUUCAGGGUUGUGGAAGGGUGUAGGGAUGGAAAGGGACCAGGAUUCGCCUGUUUGGCUGGGAAAAUCGGUAGAGGAGGGUGGCUCACACUUCUAAGAUGUCUGCACAAGCCCAGUUUGUUUGGGGGUUGGGGAGGAAGGUCUUUUCCUGGCCCACUGUCCCUCCCGAGUCAGCAGUCCCCCAGAGAGACGAAGAGCAGCUGGGCACGGCUGGAGCUGGUCGGUGGCAGAGAAUCUUGUCCUGCCUUUUCUUCUCAAGCUCAAAAUAGGCACAUGCAGCUAUUAACUGAUAUGCCAGAAGGGGCAUCCCUUACCCGGAGGAAAAUGGAUUUAUUGCUUUAUAAAAAAGAAGUCUAAUAAAACUGAAGAGAAAAUAACUAAAAAUCCAAACACAACUCACCCCUCUAAGCACGCCCAGGAGGUCUCAAGACACACUUCUGGGGGCAGUCAAGGUGGGCGGGUUGGUGGGCCAGGCGGACGGGCCUGGCGGCUCCCGCCUGGUCAGUGGGGAUAAG